AAGCGGUCGGCGGGAGAGGACUGCGCCGCUCUCUCUCCUCAUCUUCCUCUCGUUCUGUGUGAAAUAAGUGGGGAAAAGUGCUCAAACAGGAUAUCCUUUAAUCGAAAGUGUAGUAAUAUGUACAUCUAAAGUAUCGAGUGGUCCCGAAUUCAUUGCGUUUCGGUUAAACGAGGCAGUGCAGUAAAUGUUCUUGAAAGUUAACAAAGCCACGCUGGGCAACACACAAGAGUGGCUGACGUCCUAAAGAAAAGUUUUCGGUUUAUCCCGGUGGUGUGGCGAUAUUUCUCUCUCGCACAAAGUUAGCAAAUUAGUGAAAAAGUGAUCAAAGAUACAUGACAGUGGAUUGUAUACUGGAUACUUACUCCCAUCUGCGAGAGGAACUAACAUGUUUGGAAGGUCAUGGUGAGGUGGUGAUGGCGGGUGUGGUGAGUGCCGGGGGCUGGAGCGAGGGGCGCCGCUCCCGGGGUGCCCCCCACAGGACCAGCACCUCCUCCAGAGGCCCCCUUGCUGGUGGGGGCCCUCGCCCCCGUGCCCAAGGACCUCUGCUUCUCGUGCUCCUCAUCGCAGCCCUCGCCCGAGCUGAACAAGGUGAGCUCUUGGACACG